GUAUGAAAAAUACCUCUCUGAAGGUGCGCUGUCCUCCUCACGUUGUUUGUGUCACCCUUGACAACCAGACAGCCAUCUGCUCCAAUGACAAGCAGCCAACCCAGAGUGUGAAGCCCAGGAAAGGAAGCCGGACACGCAGACUAGCAGCUGGUGGUCAUGGGAAAUGCCCAGCCCUGUGUGUGGAUUUGAUGGCCACAGCUACUCUGUUUUUCUUUCUGUCAGUCUCAAACUUUUUGUAACUUUACUUUUUUUUUCUCACUUUCAGGCUACAUCUCCAAGUGUGUAAACCCCUUGAUUUUUCUUUUUUUUGUUGUUUAAAAUUGUCCAAGGAAGGUUAAAUCGAAGGCUGCUAAACAUGGCUGAAAAUACUCUCAUCCAAGAAGCUUCUAAAGUUCAAGUAUCUUAAACCAAGUCCAGUUACCCUUGAUUUAACCUUUCUUAGAUGACGUGGAUGACUAAGAAUCUGCAGAGAUAUAAAAAUGGAUAUGUUUAUUUUCUACAAUAAAAGACACAAGAAUAGUGGAUUUUUUAUUAAA